GACGAACGCUGGCGGCGUGCCUAACACAUGCAAGUCGAACGGGGAUAUUGAUUUCGGUUGAUAUCCUAGUGGCGAACGGGUGAGUAACGCGUGAACAACCUGCCUUUCAGAGGGGGAUAACACCUGGAAACAAGUGCUAAUACCGCAUAAGACCACGACCCGGCAUCGGGAUGAGGUCAAAGGAGCAAUCCGCUGAAAGAGGGGUUCGCGUCCCAUUAGAUAGUUGGCGGGGUAACGGCCCACCAAGUCCGCGAUGGGUAGCCGAGCUGAGAGGCUGAUCGGCCACACUGGAACUGAGACACGGUCCAGACUCCUACGGGAGGCAGCAGUGGGGAAUAUUGGGCAAUGGGCGCAAGCCUGACCCAGCAACGCCGCGUGAGGGAAGAAGGCUUUCGGGUUG
rnacentral:rRNA from 1 species